GUCAGGAUGGCCGAGUGGUCUAAGGCGCCAGACUCAAGUUGUGGAAGCGUGGGUUCAAAUCCCACUUCUGACA